UCUAAUUCAUUUCCUCAAAAUCUAUUUGUUCAUCUAACCUCAGAAUCGCCAAUCAACCGCCGUAUCAGUAUAUUUAGCGGUCAAAGCUAAAUUUAAGAACAAGGAAUGGACACUCUCCGACAAAAAUGUUCUGCCACCCUUGUAUCGGCAGAACUCUCUGGGUUACGCGGCUUAAAUUAAGGUUACCUAAUCCUGAGGAGCUCCAAGGGAAAAGAAGGGACGCCGAAAGCAACCGUCGAUCAAGGGUGAAUCUUUGGAAGGACGCACAAUAGACUUAACAAUAUAAGGAAGUGGUGGGUUUGGGCUCGGCCCACCAGAAAAUCGCACCACCAGGAACUCGGAGGCUUAUGGAAUUUGGCUGGCCAACCUCGUGGUACCAACCAGUUGCGCAUAAGUUGGCCACUAUCGGAGGCACCCCGACGCGGAACGGACUCACCGGAGAUCUGGAGUCCUAGAGGGUCGACUUGGGUUUGAUGCCGUGGUUCUUCAAACGGUUCCUCCAAACGCACGUUCUCCUCAGGGAACUUCGUAGUUGUGUCUCUCCGAAAAAUGUUAUAAUUUUGUGUUGAUCGAAAAACUGUGGCCUCUCCAGAAUAUUUAUAUUUCCAUAUGUUAUAUGUAUAUAUUUGCUCCACA